GGGAUAUCUUUCUUUGGUGAACCUCACAUUUGGCUUGGGUAGGAAAUAUAAUUUAGGUUUAAAUUGUCCUAAACCAGGUCAAAGAUUGUAUUUUUCAUGCCAAAGAAUGAUUCAUCUUUCUUUGCAUGAAUCAUCUUGGAUCGCAUAAUGACUGCUUUGAAAUCUAUGCAAAUGGAUGAGUGAAAGAAUUUGGAGUGUUUUGAUAUUUUUGUGGAG
rnacentral:lncRNA from 1 species